rnacentral:rRNA from 1 species
UCGUAACAAGGUCUCCGUUGGUGAACCAGCGGAGGGAUCAUUACCGAGUUUACAACUCCCAAACCCCUGUGAACAUACCACUUGUUGCCUCGGCGGAUCAGCCCGCUCCCGGUAAAACGGGACGGCCCGCCAGAGGACCCCUAAACUCUGUUUCUAUAUGUAACUUCUGAGUAAAACCAUAAAUAAAUCAAAACUUUCAACAACGGAUCUCUUGGUUCUGGCAUCGAUGAAGAACGCAGCAAAAUGCGAUAAGUAAUGUGAAUUGCAGAAUUCAGUGAAUCAUCGAAUCUUUGAACGCACGUUGCGCCCGCCAGUAUUCUGGCGGGCAUGCCUGUUCGAGCGUCAUUUCAACCCUCAAGCACAGCUUGGUGUUGGGACUCGCGUUAAUUCGCGUUCCCCAAAUUGAUUGGCGGUCACGUCGAGCUUCCAUAGCGUAGUAGUAAAACCCUCGUUACUGGUAAUCGUCGCGGCCACGCCGUUAAACCCCAACUUCUGAAUGUUGACCUCGGACCAGGUAGGAAUACCCGCUGAACUUAAGCAUAUCAAUAUCG